rnacentral:rRNA from 1 species
CACGGGGGGAGCAAGCGUUGUUCGGAAUCACUGGGCGUAAAGGGUGUCUAGGCGGUCAGGUAAGUGAGAUGUGAAAUGCCCCGGCUUACCCGGGGACCGGCAUCUCAUACUGUCUGGCUUGAGUAUGGGAGAGGAUGAGGGAAUUCCUGGUGUAGCGGUGAAAUGCGUAGAUAUCAGGAGGAACACCGGUGGCGAAAGCGCUCAUCUGGCCCAAUACUGACGCUGAAGCACGAAAGCUAGGGGAGCAAACGGG